rnacentral:lncRNA from 1 species
GCUGAUUAAGGGCGAAGGAAAGCGGAUCCGGAGCUUGGUUGGGUCGGAAAUGGACGGAGGGGUCGAACCGAACCAAGGUGAGGCUUCACGGUGGCCGGAGGAUGGGUGGACGGCUCCGGCGGAGCUCCACUAGAUCUGAAACUUCGCUGAAACAAAGGGCUGAGCGAGGGAGAGGCCGAGGCAGGUGGAGCACGGGACGGCGAACGGCGAGGCGACGCGGGCCGGGAACGGCGUGUGGCGGCGAGGCGGCGUGCGGCGCGACUGCAGCUCCUUCAAGCAACGCCGAUCGUUGCUUCUGCUCCUGCUGGUCGGUUCUGAUCGAACCAGAGGAAGGAGAGAGGGCAGAGGGCGCGCGGACGACCGUGGAGCAGCGGCGGUAGCUCCGGCUUCGGUGGGCAACGACGGCGACGAGAAGCGGCGACGGGCGGAGCUUCUUCGGCUUCUUCGGCUUCCAUGGUGCCGAGCAACCAAAGAGAAGAGGAAGAAAGGGGGUUCGUCGACGGAGGAGGAGAGAAGAAGAAGAAGAAGAGAAAACCAAUUUCUC